rnacentral:rRNA from 1 species
UUUGACCUCAAAUCAGGUAGGACUACCCGCUGAACUUAAGCAUAUCAAUAAGCGGAGGAAAAGAAACUAACAAGGAUUCCCCUAGUAACUGCGAGUGAAGCGGGAAAAGCUCAAAUUUGAAAUCUGGCAGUCUAUUUUUUCUUCUUUGGCUGUCCGAAUUGUAAUCUAGAGAAGUGCUUACCUGCACUGGACCG